AAUGUGAAGAGCUGGAGAAUCAGAUAAAAGUCAAGGUCCCUCUAUCUUCAGCUGCUUCCAGAUCGGGGGCUGGAGCUGAGCGGGAAUGUCGUGCAAUCCCGUUUCGUUCUCGAGCAGGCUGAGUCCCACGAGCAUGCCCCCUUGCAUCUGCCCUGGGAGAAACUCUAGCAGGGUAGAGAAAAUUAGAGAAGAAAGGAUAUUAUUACACGGUGCAAUUGUAUUUUCAUCCUCGAGGCUUGCCGAACGCAGGCUUCUGGGUAAGUCACACAAUCCAGGAGAAAUAACUGCUUAGCGUUGAGAUGACAUGUGACUGAGGCCGAGCUCUCUGCGGCCGUCCCCUCUCCCCCGCCGCCUGUGUGUGUUGUGUGGUCUGGACAGACAACGGCAGGGCAGACCUUCUGAAGCGAGGCCGGGGACUGAGACAGCUCUACCUCUGCAGGUCUCCUGCCUAGAGGCUCCACUCCAGCCAGCAGGGAAGCCAGGAUUGAUCGUUCCUGCCAGUUAGUCGGGCAUGAUGACAGCAGUCAUGCCUUCUGCAGAGGAACCGUGAGGAAGAAGCAAGAUGCAUCGCCUGAGGGCAUGUAACAAGUGCUCAGUGGCUUUUGCUGGGAGAGCUUUGAAGAGCGGUGGGGAGAAGACAGUGAGAUCCAUUUGGUUACAAAGGGCCAUGCGGUCUAGAAGGACACACGGUGUGGGCACUGUUGGGGGUUAUUCCCAUUUUGUAACCUCCCCAGUAGCUCCAGUGAUGCAGUCAGGCCUCUGUGUUACUCAUUCCCAUACUCAGCCUCCGAUGGACAUUGCAUUGGGCAUUCAUGUUACCUCAGCACACUGAAGACUCAGAAGGAGGGUGUCUGAUAACAAAAGGAAUCUGAAUAUUUCACAGUCUUGCUGCUUUUUGACAUCUUGAAACUAUGACUACAGCUUUCCCCCGUCUUGUGAGGGUGUAUGCUUUGUAUUACAUUGUAACAGUCUAAUGCAGCAUUUCUUAAUCUGUAAUCCAUAGAACUGUAAUCCAUAAAACUUAUGCUGAGGAUAUGCCUUGAGAAAACUGUUCCAUGCACCUAUAACUGUGUAAAAAGUGGGAACAAAUAAAGAUGAGAGAACCAGUAAAGAUAUGUUUCUACUGGAGGAGUUCUCACACUCAUAAAUACAUUAACAUACAUUAUAGACACCCAAGAAGAAAGUGGAAGGCAACUUUUUCAAAACACUUUUCUUUAUUAUGUUGUAAAGGGAAACACUGAGCUUUGUAAAACUACAGUUCCAAGAAUUAUAUUUUAUAAAAUUUCCUUCAAAAUAUGUAUUGUUUUACAAAAAUGUGGAACCAACCCAAAUGCCUAUCAAUCAAUGAGUGGAUAAAGAAGCUGUGGUAGAUAGAUGGAUAGAUAAAUAUAUAUAUAUAUAUAUAUAUAUAGAUAGAUA